UUUUAUUUGAGAGUUUGAUCCUGGCUCAGGAUGAACGCUGGCGGCGUGCCUAACACAUGCAAGUUGAGCGAUUUACUUCGGUAAAGAGCGGCGGACGGGUGAGUAACGCGUGGGUAACCUACCCUGUACACACGGAUAACAUACCGAAAGGUAUGCUAAUACGGGAUAAUAUAUUUGAGAGGCAUCUCUUAAAUAUCAAAGGUGAGCCAGUACAGGAUGGACCCGCGUCUGAUUAGCUAGUUGGUAAGGUAACGGCUUACCAAGGCGACGAUCAGUAGCCGACCUGCGAGGGUGAUCGGCCACAUUGGAACUGAGACACGGUCCAAACUCCUACGGGAGGCAGCAGUGGGGAAUAUUGCACAAUGGGCGAAAGCCUGAUGCAGCAACGCCGCGUGAGUGAUGAAGGCCUUCGGGUC
rnacentral:rRNA from 1 species